rnacentral:rRNA from 1 species
GGUUAAGCGACUAAGCGUACACGGUGGAUGCCCUGGCAGUCAGAGGCGAUGAAGGGCGUGCUAAUCUGCGAUAAGCGCCGGUAAGGUGAUAUGAACCGUUAUAACCGGCGAUACCCGAAUGGGGAAACCCAGUGUGACUCGUCACACUAUCAUUAACUGAAUCCAUAGGUUAAUGAGGCGAACCGGGGGAACUGAAACAUCUAAGUACCCCGAGGAAAAGAAAUCAACCGAGAUUCCCCCAGUAGCGGCGAGCGAACGGGGAGGAGCCCAGAGCCUGAAUCAGCAUGUGUGUUAGUGGAAGCGUCUGGAAAGGCGCGCGAUACAGGGUGACAGCCCCGUACACAAAAGCGCAUGUGCUGUGAGCUCGAUGAGUAGGGCGGGACACGUGGUAUCCUGUCUGAAUAUGGGGGGACCAUCCUCCAAGGCUAAAUACUCCUGACUGACCGAUAGUGAACCAGUACCGUGAGGGAAAGGCGAAAAGAACCCCGGCGAGGGGAGUGAAAAAGAACCUGAAACCGUGUACGUACAAGCAGUGGGAGCACAGGUUUACCUGUGUGACUGCGUACCUUUUGUAUAAUGGGUCAGCGACUUAUAUUCUGUAGCAAGGUUAACCGUAUAGGGGAGCCGUAGGGAAACCGAGUCUUAACCGGGCGUUAAGUUGCAGGGUAUAGACCCGAAACCCGGUGAUCUAGCCAUGGGCAGGUUGAAGGUUGGGUAACACUAACUGGAGGACCGAACCGACUAAUGUUGAAAAAUUAGCGGAUGACCUGUGGCUGGGGGUGAAAGGCCAAUCAAACCGGGAGAUAGCUGGUUCUCCCCGAAAGCUAUUUAGGUAGCGCCUCGUGAAUUCAUCUCCGGGGGUAGAGCACUGUUUCGGCUAGGGGGCCAUCCCGGCUUACCAACCCGAUGCAAACUGCGAAUACCGGAGAAUGUUAUCACGGGAGACACACGGCGGGUGCUAACGUCCGUCGUGAAGAGGGAAACAACCCAGACCGCCAGCUAAGGUCCCAAAGUCAUGGUUAAGUGGGAAACGAUGUGGGAAGGCCCAGACAGCCAGGAUGUUGGCUUAGAAGCAGCCAUCAUUUAAAGAAAGCGUAAUAGCUCACUGGUCGAGUCGGCCUGCGCGGAAGAUGUAACGGGGCUAAACCAUGCACCGAAGCUGCGGCAGCGACACUGUGUGUUGUUGGGUAGGGGAGCGUUCUGUAAGCCUGUGAAGGUGGCCUGUGAGGGUUGCUGGAGGUAUCAGAAGUGCGAAUGCUGACAUAAGUAACGAUAAAGCGGGUGAAAAGCCCGCUCGCCGGAAGACCAAGGGUUCCUGUCCAACGUUAAUCGGGGCAGGGUGAGUCGACCCCUAAGGCGAGGCCGAAAGGCGUAGUCGAUGGGAAACGGGUUAAUAUUCCCGUACUUGGUGUUACUGCGAAGGGGGACGGAGAAGGCUAUGUUGGCCGGGCGACGGUUGUCCCGGUUUAAGCGUGUAGGUGUGUGUUCCAGGUAAAUCCGGUUCACUUUAACACUGAGGCGUGACGACGAGGCACUACGGUGCUGAAGCAACAAAUGCCCUGCUUCCAGGAAAAGCCUCUAAGCAUCAGGUAACAUCAAAUCGUACCCCAAACCGACACAGGUGGUCAGGUAGAGAAUACCAAGGCGCUUGAGAGAACUCGGGUGAAGGAACUAGGCAAAAUGGUGCCGUAACUUCGGGAGAAGGCACGCUGACACGUAGGUGAAGUGAUUUACUCAUGGAGCUGAAGUCAGUCGAAGAUACCAGCUGGCUGCAACUGUUUAUUAAAAACACAGCACUGUGCAAACACGAAAGUGGACGUAUACGGUGUGACGCCUGCCCGGUGCCGGAAGGUUAAUUGAUGGGGUCAGCGCAAGCGAAGCUCCUGAUCGAAGCCCCGGUAAACGGCGGCCGUAACUAUAACGGUCCUAAGGUAGCGAAAUUCCUUGUCGGGUAAGUUCCGACCUGCACGAAUGGCGUAAUGAUGGCCAGGCUGUCUCCACCCGAGACUCAGUGAAAUUGAACUCGCUGUGAAGAUGCAGUGUACCCGCGGCAAGACGGAAAGACCCCGUGAACCUUUACUAUAGCUUGACACUGAACAUUGAGCCUUGAUGUGUAGGAUAGGUGGGAGGCUUUGAAGUGUGGACGCCAGUCUGCAUGGAGCCGACCUUGAAAUACCACCCUUUAAUGUUUGAUGUUCUAACGUGGACCCGUAAUCCGGGUUGCGGACAGUGUCUGGUGGGUAGUUUGACUGGGGCGGUCUCCUCCUAAAGAGUAACGGAGGAGCACGAAGGUUGGCUAAUCCUGGUCGGACAUCAGGAGGUUAGUGCAAUGGCAUAAGCCAGCUUGACUGCGAGCGUGACGGCGCGAGCAGGUGCGAAAGCAGGUCAUAGUGAUCCGGUGGUUCUGAAUGGAAGGGCCAUCGCUCAACGGAUAAAAGGUACUCCGGGGAUAACAGGCUGAUACCGCCCAAGAGUUCAUAUCGACGGCGGUGUUUGGCACCUCGAUGUCGGCUCAUCACAUCCUGGGGCUGAAGUAGGUCCCAAGGGUAUGGCUGUUCGCCAUUUAAAGUGGUACGCGAGCUGGGUUUAGAACGUCGUGAGACAGUUCGGUCCCUAUCUGCCGUGGGCGCUGGAGAACUGAGGGGGGCUGCUCCUAGUACGAGAGGACCGGAGUGGACGCAUCACUGGUGUUCGGGUUGUCAUGCCAAUGGCACUGCCCGGUAGCUAAAUGCGGAAGAGAUAAGUGCUGAAAGCAUCUAAGCACGAAACUUGCCCCGAGAUGAGUUCUCCCUGAGACUUAGAGUCUCCUGAAGGAACGUUGAAGACGACGACGUUGAUAGGCCGGGUGUGUAAGCGCAGCGAUGCGUUGAGCUAACCGGUACUAAUGAACCGUGAGGCUUAACCUU